CUUUGAUCUGCUGCAUCUGUGUGAGUUGCCUGUGUGAGCCCAUUAUGCUACCGGCAAUUCUCUUGAGACACAGGAGUGGUCAGUGACGACUGCCAAGCUCCCAGAAAAAUGAAGAGCCAUAGUCCUGCUGAUGUGCCUUCUAUCUAGGCAUGGAACAAAUAUCCAGCGUUCUAGAGACUGCUCAUUCUUCACUGGAACACAAUGGAAAAGCAGAUGGAGGUCGAAAUUGAAUUGCUGCUGACUGUUGUCCCUUGUUAUGGCCUGUGGAGAUAUGACAAUUGAGGAAGAACUUAGAGGAAUGCCAA